ACGAUCCCGUGUUUUCCUAGCUGUUUGUUCUUUCCCCAAAGGCCCUAGGAUCACAGGGAGGCAUCCAAGAACAAUACCGGGGAGCUGGCUCUGCAGUUACAGCAGCAAGGCAGGGGUUCCCGCUGAAGGAGGAAGGGACGAGAGGGGCCAUCGGCUGCCAGCUGGCCGCUUAGGGACAACUGUGGCAGCAGGCUUUGUCCCUGGACCUCGGAACCUCAGGGAGGGGAGGUCCUGCUGGGCAGUUGAGGAUUCCUGCGGGGUGACUGGGCACUGGCAGCUUCUCUGGGCUCAUGUUCCAGUCAACACUCACAUGGUCAGCCUCUCUCCCUUUCUGAAAAGUUUAGAUUUCUAAGGCAAACAGCAAGGCCCCAAGGACGGGAUGAUCUGCUCAUAGGAGGACAGAGCCCUGUCCAGCAAAGAGGCAUGAUCUGCAAUUGGGAAUUGGGGCUCUUUGGAACUCACUCUGAGAAGUGUAGGUCUAGACCACAGACCUUGCUUGCAGAUGGAGAGAGAGGGCCAAUUACACCACAGACCCUUCUCCUAAGAAGUGACCGGAGAGCAGAAGAGCGGCCUCCUGUGUGGAUAUGGGAACAGAAAGGUGUGGCUGCUGUCGCCAAAGGCUAAGGGACUCACUGGAGCACUCUUGCCAAACGAUUGACGGCCUUCCCCUGGCACCUGUACCCCGAAUGGGACAGACCUCAUUAUGUCCCAUUAUGUCCUCUGCAGGCUCGUGGGUUGAGGGUUCGACCCCUAGUUUUGAAGACUGUGGGACCAUUACCGGUAGGGACCAGCCGACAGCUGUCGGGCACUAGGGCUAGGCUGUUGAAGGCAUCCCCGCCCCAUUUCAGGCAGUUCUCUCUGCUUCCCAUCCAUCUCGUCAUACACAGCUUUCAUCUAACACUCCUGUCACCACAGAAGCUGCCUCAGCCACCUUACCUUCCCCCUGGAAUGGACUGAAGUCCCCCAACACUGUGAGCCCGAAUAAACCCUCUUGCCCGGA